ACGGGAGGCAGCAGUGGGGAAUAUUGCACAAUGGGCGCAAGCCUGAUGCAGCGACGCCGCGUGAGGGAUGACGGCCUUCGGGUUGUAAACCUCUUUCAGCAGGGAAGAAGCCUUUUGGGUGACGGUACCUGCAGAAGAAGCACCGGCUAACUACGUGCCAGCAGCCGCGGUAAUACGUAGGGUGCGAGCGUUGUCCGGAAUUAUUGGGCGUAAAGAGCUUGUAGGCGGUUUGUCGCGUCUGCUGUGAAAAUCCGGGGCUCAACCCCGGACUUGCAGUGGGUACGGGCAGACUGGAGUGUGGUAGGGGAGACUGGAAUUCCUGGUGUAGCGGUGGAAUGCGCAGAUAUCAGGAGGAACACCGAUGGCGAAGGCAGGUCUCUGGGCCACUACUGACGCUGAGAAGCGAAAGCAUGGGGAGCGAACAGGAUUAGAUACCCUGGUA
rnacentral:rRNA from 1 species